ensembl:lncRNA LINC02016 long intergenic non-protein coding RNA 2016
GCACUCCCUCCAAGACAGACUUCUCUGUGGAAGCAGCAUAUUGGAGGCCUGCUAGGACAGUUCACAGGAAUGGCUGUGGAGGGCUGCAGGCAUGUCUCUAAUCAGAACCUGCUUGUCUUUUUGAUUGACAGCUGCACUUUCUCCACCAAGAAGUGGGUACUGUGCAAGUUAUGGUCAUAGUGAAGGUGGGGGACAUGACAGAUCUCAUUCAUUCGUGAACUCCCUCUCCCUGGGAGAAUGGAAGCCUGAGAGCAGGCAUUUCUGUGCCCUGUUCACUGCUGGGUCUCCCGGGCCUGGAGCAGGACCUGUCUUGUGGUGGCCGUGUGACAGUGUUCACUGUAUGAGUGAAUGAACAAAUGAAUGAAUGAACGGAAGACAGGAGGGAACUGCAGGCAGUGGACAGACUCAGAUUCUUCUAUGGCCAUGGAAUUCGCUGCAUCAGAGCCACAAAUACAAAUGUCGCUGUGCCGUGAAGGCAAGCUUGGCUUUCUGUGUCAGAGACUUGCUAAGAACAUAGCCCAUGUCCUUUCUAAAUUGUCCCCAGAAGUGUGGGUAGGACACAGCCAUGUGAUAUAUCUGGAGGAAAAGUUCAGACUAACAAAAUUCCACUUGGAGACCAGGGUGCUGGCCAACAGCGGCACCAAACAUCCCUAAAGUCAUGUAUAGAUG